rnacentral:lncRNA from 1 species
AGUGCUUCUCUAGAGUUCUUCUAGUUUAACCUGAGGGGUCAGGUUAACUGACUGAGGGGCCAGGGUCAGAGAAAAGGGUAUCUUUUCUCCCUGGUCACAAGGCUGUAAGUAUGGAAGCCCAGCAUCAAAGAGCCAUGCCCCCACCUAAGAAAGAAGUUGUUCUAAGGAAAAUGAAACCAGUAUACAGACAGCAGGAUGGAACAAUAGUCAAAUGCUUUCGAUGUGCUCAACACAAUGCUAGGCACAGAUGAAUAAGGGUCUGUUCCAAGAAGACACAGAAUGGGAGAAAUGGUCAAAAAUAAAGAUGCAUCCUUUCUGUCUUCUCUGCUAAACAGUGAGCUCCAGGAAGAAAAGGAUCAUCAU